GCCGCGGCGAUAGCUCAUUGGGUAAAGCGCCAGGUGAUAAGGUGGCAAUUACUCCGAGAGCUAUUAUCUGCGCCGGUUCGAAUCCCGCCCGUGGCA
rnacentral:tRNA from 1 species